rnacentral:rRNA from 1 species
UACGUAGGGUGCGAGCGUUGUCCGGAAUUAUUGGGCGUAAAGAGCUUGUAGGCGGUUUGUCGCGUCUGCUGUGAAAAUCCGGGGCUCAACCCCGGACUUGCAGUGGGUACGGGCAGACUAGAGUGUGGUAGGGGAGACUGGAAUUCCUGGUGUAGCGGUGAAAUGCGCAGAUAUCAGGAGGAACACCGAUGGCGAAGGCAGGUCUCUGGGCCGGUACUGACGCUGAGGCGCGAAAGCGUGGGGAGCAAACAGG